CGCGGAAUAGAGCAGCCCGGUAGCUCGUCGGGCUCAUAACCCGAAGGUCACAGGUUCAAAUCCUGUUUCCGCAACCA
rnacentral:tRNA from 1 species